rnacentral:rRNA from 1 species
UACGAAGGGGGCUAGCGUUGCUCGGAAUCACUGGGCGUAAAGGGCGUGUAGGCGGGAAGGAUAGUCAGAUGUGAAAGCCCUGGGCUCAACCCAGGAACUGCAUUUGAAACUCCCUUUCUUGAGUGUCGGAGAGGAAAGCGGAAUUCCUGGUGUAGAGGUGAAAUUCGUAGAUAUCAGGAGGAACACCGGUGGCGAAGGCGGCUUUCUGGACGACAACUGACGCUGAGACGCGAAAGCGUGGGGAGCAAACAGG